rnacentral:rRNA from 1 species
GGACAGAAAGACCCUAUGAAGCUUUACUGUAGCUUGAGAUUGGCUCCGGGCUUUAUUUGCGCAGGAUAGGUGGGAGGCGUUGACGACUUUCUUGCGGGAAAGUUUGAGCCACUGGUGAGAUACCACUCUAAUAAAGCUAGGAUUCUAACCCUAUAA